CCUGGGAACUGCGUUNUGAACUGGGUGACUAGAGUGUGUCAGAGGGAGGUAGAAUUCCACGUGUAGCAGUGAAAUGCGUAGAGAUGUGGAGGAAUACCGAUGGCGAAGGCAGCNUCCUGGGAUAACACUGACGUUCAUGCCCGAAAGCGUGGGUAGCAAACAGGAUUAGAUACCCUGGUAGUCCACGCCCUAAACGAUGUCGAUUAGCUGUUGGGCAGCAUGACUGCUUAGUAGCGAAGCUAACGCGUGAAAUCGACCGCCUGGGGAGUACGGUCGCAAGAUUAAAACUCAAAGGAAUUGACGGGGACCCGCACAAGCGGUGGAUGAUGUGGAUUAAUUCGAUGCAACGCGAAGAACCUUACCUGGUCUUGACAUGUACGGAACCCUCCAGAGACGGAGGGGUGCCUUCGGGAGCCGUAACACAGGUGCUGCAUGGCUGUCGUCAGCUCGUGUCGUGAGAUGUUGGGUUAAGUCCCGCAACGAGCGCAACCCUUGUCAUUAGUUGCCAUCAUUAAGUUGGGCACUCUAAUGAGACUGCCGGUGACAAGCCGGAGGAAGGUGGGGAUGACGUCAAGUCCUCAUGGCCCUUAUGACCAGGGCUUCACACGUCAUACAAUGGUCGGUACAGAGGGUAGCCAAGCCGCGAGGUGGAGCCAAUCUCACAAAACCGAUCGUAGUCCGGAUUGCACUCUGCAACUCGAGUGCAUGAAGUCGGAAUCGCUAGUAAUCGCAGGUCAGCAUACUGCGGUGAAUACGUUCCCGGGUCUUGUACACACCGCCCGUCACACCAUGGGAGUGGGGGAUACCAGAAGUAGGUAGGGUA
rnacentral:rRNA from 1 species